rnacentral:lncRNA from 1 species
UGAUCUGGAUUUUUAAGCGGUUAAGUAAAUAUCAUGGGGCAGGCACUGGGGGGCACAAUAUCCCAAAUAGCCGUAUUUGCAUCACAACCCUUGGAUGAGGUGAUUGCCCAACGUCGCCCAUCAUCAUCCCGGCAGGUUAAGUCCAGGAUGCCAUCCCCGUCACAGUCUGCACUCUGCAGGACUGCGGUGUCGUGGAUGCACCACCCGGAUGGCCUGGUGCAUGAAGCUGCGGCAAAAAAAACAGCAACGAUAAUAAUUGAUCAAUGCCAGAAGCAGAUCGGGCAGGUGGCCUAGCUAGGAAAGGCCACAUGAAGGGUGGAGGCCAGACCAGCUGGAAAUGAAAGGCCAGGCAGUGUAACUACGAUUUCUAGACGCAUUGAGCAGGUCGGUGCCACAAAGAGACUCAGGGCUUGCUUGCCAGCAGCCGUAGGAUAACCGUACAUGCAUGCAUGCAUGCAUGCAUGCAUGCAUGCCACCAAUACAUUCGGUGAUUGAGCAUUGCUAUGCGCUUGCAUGCAUGUUUUGUGCGAUUGGGCAUAUGUAUACAGUUGCCAAAUAUGAUGCCUGAGGGGCUUCAGGUAAGGUGUACACACUGCUGCAAUUCACUGCUCCGAAGCAAGUGGGGUUGAACAAUAAUAUGCUAUGAUAAUUCCGAGGGGCAAUGCCGGUUCGAGGGAAUUCCCUCGAACCAUCUCAAUUUCAUCGCAACGGCUGGGUUAUUACUACGUACCUGGAUCUGUGGGUGGCGAGAAUAUCUUGGGGCAGGCACUGGGGGGCACAAUAUCCCAAAUAGCCGCAUUUGCAUCACAGCCCGUGGAUGAGGUGAUCGCCCAACGUCGCCCAUCAUCAUCCCGGCAGGUAACAUCCAGGGCGCCAUCCCCGUCACAGUCUGCACUCUGCAGGACUGAGCUGUUGUGGAUGCACCACCCGGAUGGCCUGGUGCAUGAAGCUGGAACUGCGGCAAAAGCCAGCAACGAUAAUAAUCGAUCGGUGUCAGAAGCAACAGAAACAUUUCUAGAUGCAUGGAGCAGCAGGUCAGUGCCAUAAGGAAACGCAGCUCGCCUGCCAGGGUUUUAAAACCCCUAGGGUGCCUGCCAGUAGGGAAACCGUACAUGUGUCCAUGCCACCGAUACAAUCGCGGAUUUAGCAUAAUUAUGCGCUCGCGUGAAUGUGUUGUGUGACUGGCUGGGCAUAUGUACAUGCUCAUACAGUUGCUAAAUGCGAUGCCUGAGGGGCACUGCAAUUACUCCCGCCCUUGCUUGCUUACAGGAUCUCGUAGGUUGAAGCAUGAUAUGCUACAUACGAUGAUUCCCCUGAACCAUCUCAGAUUAUUCAUCACAUACAACUGCUGGGUUAUUUCUACGUACCUGGAUCUGUGGGCGGGGGGAAUAUCAUGGGGCAGGCACUGGGGGGCACAAUAUCCCAAAUAGCCGUAUUUGCAUCACAACCCUUGGAUGAGGUGAUUGCCCAACGUCGCCCAUCAUCAUCCCGGCAGGUUAAGUCCAGGAUGCCAUCCCCGUCACAGUCUGCACUCUGCAGGACUGCGGUGUCGUGGAUGCACCACCCGGAUGGCCUGGUGCAUGAAGCUGCGGCAAAAAAAAACAGCAACGAUAAUAAUUGAUCAAUGCCAGAAGCAGAUAGGGCAGGUGGCCUAGCUAGGAAAGGCCACAUGAAGGGUGGAGGCCAGACCAGCUGGAAAUGAAAGGCCAGGCAGUGUAACUACGAUUUCUGGACGCAUCGAGCAGGUCGGUGCCACAAAGAGACUCAGGGCUUGCUUGCCAGCAGCCGUAGGAUAACCGUACAUGCAUGCAUGCAUGCAUGCCACCAAUACAUUCGGUGAUUGAGCAUAGCUAUGCGCUUGCAUGCAUGUUUUGUGCGAUUGGGCAUAUGUAUACAGUUGCCAAAUGUGAUGCCUGGGGGGCUUCAGGUAAGGUGCACACACUGCUGCAAUUCACUGCUCCGAAGCAAGUGGGGUUGAACAAUGAUAUGCUAUGAUAAUUCCGAGGGGCAAUGCCGGUUCGAGGGAAUUCCCUCGAACCAUCUCAAUUUCAUCGCAACGGCUGGGUUAUUACUACGUACCUGGAUCUGUGGGUGGCGAGAAUAUCUUGGGGCAGGCACUGGGGGGCACAAUAUCCCAAAUAGCCGCAUUUGCAUCACAGCCCGUGGAUGAGGUGAUCGCCCAACGUCGCCCAUCAUCAUCCCGGCAGGUAACAUCCAGGGCGCCAUCCCCGUCACAGUCUGCACUCUGCAGGACUGAGCUGUUGUGGAUGCACCACCCGGAUGGCCUGGUGCAUGAAGCUGGAACUGCGGCAAAAGCCAGCAACGAUAAUAAUCGAUCGGUGUCAGAAGCAACAGAAACAUUUCUAGAUGCAUGGAGCAGCAGGUCGGUGCCAUAAGGAAACGCAGCUCGCCUGCCAGGGUUUUAAAACCCCUAGGGCGCCUGCCAGUAGGACAAGUUGGGUGUCGGCUUCAAGGAAGCCGGAAAAAGGGCGGGGCCCCUCUGCAUCCGUACAGGCCGGUAGCAAAGGUGGCAAGUGUGACAAUUGAUGGGUAGUGUCAACGCGGUGGGAGAUGUGCUUUGUUGCAGCAGUGCUGAUGGUGUGAGAGCUAAGCUUGCACCGGCGAAAUCGUCAGCACCGCCUGAGGGCUCCACGCGAAUCGCAUCCAUUCCGGGUGCAUGCCGCAUGGACAGUGCGGCAGACCGCAAGUCGGAAUGCCCGUGCGGGCAAAUGGUAACGAAAGCUGGGUGAAUUUCGGUGCUGUCUGUGAUGUUUAUCCCCGAAGCGCCAGCGGCCUCAGCAAUCCGCCCCACAGCCGCGGGCUUCAUCGGGGCACACCGCAAGUCUCAGGAGGCCCCGUGCAUUGGCCAAAGUAAAUGUACAAACAAGCAGCUUGUGUAUUUCAUAGAGAAAUGAAAGUAAAUUAUGUUGGCCUGCUGGUGGCAAGUCGGAUUGCCCAUGCCGGCAAAUGGUAACACAAGCUGGGUGUUCGAGUUAUCAUACGCUGUCAUCUCGGAAAUCAAUUAUGAGAUACACGGCACCUUUUGAGAUGAAAUAUAGCCCGAGAGGUGUUGAUGUGACUUUUGAGGUCGGUGAAUGGAGGCAGCUAAACUUGUUUGUGCUCAUACGGUCUUUGUUAGCUACAUGCGAGAUACCUUGCAAUAGAGAAUGCUGUAUAGUACCGAUAACGCGUUUCAGCCGGGCGAGAUAUUAUGUUUGGUCCGUUACAGACACACACACACACACACACACACACACACACACACACACACACACACACGGACAUGGGCAAUCCUACAGGUCGGGGCCCCCCUGGGCGCUUCGCGCUGGGGCCCCGCCCAAAAACCGUACAUGUGUCUAUGCCACCGAUACAAUCGCGGAUUUAGCAUAAUUAUGCGCUCGCGUGAAUGUGUUGUGUGACUGGCUGGGCAUAUGUACAUGCUCAUACAGUUGCUAAAUGCGAUGCCUGAGGGGCACUGCAAUUACUCCCGCCCUUGCUUGCUUACAGGAUCUCGUAGGUUGAAGCAUGAUAUGCUACAUACGAUGAUUCCCCUGAACCAUCUCAGAUUAUUCAUCACAUACAACUGCUGGGUUAUUUCUACGUACCUGGAUCUGUGGGCGGGGGGAAUAUCAUGGGGCAGGCACUGGGGGGCACAAUAUCCCAAAUAGCCGUAUUUGCAUCACAACCCUUGGAUGAGGUGAUUGCCCAACGUCGCCCAUCAUCAUCCCGGCAGGUUAAGUCCAGGAUGCCAUCCCCGUCACAGUCUGCACUCUGCAGGACUGCGGUGUCAUGGAUGCACCACCCGGAUGGCCUGGUGCAUGAAGCUGCGGCAAAAAAAACAGCAACGAUAAUAAUUGAUCAAUGCCAGAAGCAGAUAGGGCAGGUGGCCUAGCUAGGAAAGGCCACAUGAAGGGUGGAGGCCAGACCAGCUGGAAAUGAAAGGCCAGGCAGUGUAACUACGAUUUCUAGACGCAUUGAGCAGGUCGGUGCCACAAAGAGACUCAGGGCUUGCUUGCCAGCAGCCGUAGGAUAACCGUACAUGCAUGCAUGCAUGCAUGCAUGCAUGCCACCAAUACAUUCGGUGAUUGAGCAUAGCUAUGCGCUUGCAUGCAUGUUUUGUGCGAUUGGGCAUAUGUAUACAGUUGCCAAAUGUGAUGCCUGGGGGGCUUCAGGUAAGGUGCACACACUGCUGCAAUUCACUGCUCCGAAGCAAGUGGGGUUGAACAAUGAUAUGCUAUGAUAAUUCCGAGGGGCAAUGCCGGUUCGAGGGAAUUCCCUCGAAUCAUCUCAAUUUCAUCGCAACGGCUGGGUUAUUACUACGUACCUGGAUCUGUGGGUGGCGAGAAUAUCUUGGGGCAGGCACUGGGGGGCACAAUAUCCCAAAUAGCCGCAUUUGCAUCACAGCCCGUGGAUGAGGUGAUCGCCCAACGUCGCCCAUCAUCAUCCCGGCAGGUAACAUCCAGGGCGCCAUCCCCGUCACAGUCUGCACUCUGCAGGACUGAGCUGUUGUGGAUGCACCACCCGGAUGGCCUGGUGCAUGAAGCUGGAACUGCGGCAAAAGCCAGCAACGAUAAUAAUCGAUCGGUGUCAGAAGCAACAGAAACAUUUCUAGAUGAAUGGAGCAGCAGGUCGGUGCCAUAAGGAAACGCAGCUCGCCUGCCAGGGUUUUAAAACCCCUAGGGCGCCUGCCAGUAGGAAAACCGUACAUGUGUCCAUGCCACCGAUACAAUCGCUGAUUUAGCAUAAUUAUGCGCUCGCGUGAAUGUGUUGUGUGACUGGCUGGGCAUAUGUACAUGCUCAUACAGUUGCUAAAUGCGAUGCCUGAGGGGCACUGCAAUUACUCCCGCCCUUGCUUGCUUACAGGAUCUCGUAGGUUGAAGCAUGAUAUGCUACAUACGAUGAUUCCCCUGAACCAUCUCAGAUUAUUCAUCACAUACAACUGCUGGGUUAUUUCUACGUACCUGGAUCUGUGGGGGGGGGGAAUAUCAUGGGGCAGGCACUGGGGGGCACAAUAUCCCAAAUAGCCGUAUUUGCAUCACAACCCUUGGAUGAGGUGAUUGCCCAACGUCGCCCAUCAUCAUCCCGGCAGGUUAAGUCCAGGAUGCCAUCCCCGUCACAGUCUGCACUCUGCAGGACUGCGGUGUCGUGGAUGCACCACCCGGAUGGCCUGGUGCAUGAAGCUGCGGCAAAAAAAACAGCAACGAUAAUAAUUGAUCAAUGCCAGAAGCAGAUCGGGCAGGUGGCCUAGCUAGGAAAGGCCACAUGAAGGGUGGAGGCCAGACCAGCUGGAAAUGAAAGGCCAGGCAGUGUAACUACGAUUUCUAGAUGCAUCGAGCAGGUCGGUGCCACAAAGAGACUCAGGGCUUGCUUGCCAGCAGCCGUAGGAUAACCGUACAUGCAUGCAUGCAUGCAUGCAUGCCACCAAUACAUUCGGUGAUUGAGCAUAGCUAUGCGCUUGCAUGAAUGUUUUGUGCGAUUGGGCAUAUGUAUACAGUUGCCAAAUGUGAUGCCUGAGGGGCUUCAGGUAAGUUGCACACACUGCUGCAAUUCACUGCUCCGAAGCAAGUGGGGUUGAACAAUGAUAUGCUAUGAUAAUUCCGAGGGGCAAUGCCGGUUCGAGGGAAUUCCCUCGAACCAUCUCAAUUUCAACGCAACGGCUGGGUUAUUACUACGUACCUGGAUCUGUGGGUGGCGAGAAUAUCUUGGGGCAGGCACUGGGGGGCACAAUAUCCCAAAUAGCCGCAUUUGCAUCACAGCCCGUGGAUGAGGUGAUCGCCCAACGUCGCCCAUCAUCAUCCCGGCAGGUAACAUCCAGGGCGCCAUCCCCGUCACAGUCUGCACUCUGCAGGACUGAGCUGUUGUGGAUGCACCACCCGGAUGGCCUGGUGCAUGAAGCUGCGGCAAAAAAAGCAGCAACGAUGGUAAUUGAUCAAUGCCAGAAGCAGAUCGGGCAGGUGGCCUAGCUAGGAAAGGCCACAUGAAGGGUGGAGGCCAGACCAGCUGGAAAUGAAAGGCCAGGCAGUGUAACUACGAUUUCUAGACGCGUCGAACAGAUCAACGCCACAAAGAGACUCAGGGCUUGCUUUCCAGCAGCCGUAGGAUAACCGUACAUGCAUGCAUGCAUGCCACCGAUACAUUCGUGAUUGAGCAUAGCUAUGCGCUUGCAUGAAUGUUUUGUGCGAUUGGGCAUAUGUAUACAGUUGCCAAAUGUGAUGCCUGAGGGGCUUCAGGUAAGUUGCACACACUGCUGCAAUUCACUGCUCCGAAGCAAGUGGGGUUGAACAAUGAUAUGCUAUGAUAAUUCCGAGGGGCAAUGCCGGUUCGAGGGAAUUCCCUCGAAUCAUCUCAAUUUCAUCGCAACGGCUGGGUUAUUACUACGUACCUGGAUCUGUGGGUGGCGAGAAUAUCUUGGGGCAGGCACUGGGGGGCACAAUAUCCCAAAUAGCCGCAUUUGCAUCACAGCCCGUGGAUGAGGUGAUCGCCCAACGUCGCCCAUCAUCAUCCCGGCAGGUAACAUCCAGGGCGCCAUCCCCGUCACAGUCUGCACUCUGCAGGACUGAGCUGUUGUGGAUGCACCACCCGGAUGGCCUGGUGCAUGAAGCUGGAACUGCGGCAAAAGCCAGCAACGAUAAUAAUCGAUCGGUGUCAGAAGCAACAGAAACAUUUCUAGAUGAAUGGAGCAGCAGGUCGGUGCCAUAAGGAAACGCAGCUCGCCUGCCAGGGUUUUAAAACCCCUAGGGCGCCUGCCAGUAGGAAAACCGUACAUGUGUCCAUGCCACCAAUACAAUCGCUGAUUUAGCAUAAUUAUGCGCUCGCGUGAAUGUGUUGUGUGACUGGCUGGGCAUAUGUACAUGCUCAUAUAGUUGCUAAAUGCGAUGCCUGAGGGGCACUGCAAUUACUCCCGCCCUUGCUUGCUUACAGGAUCUCGUAGGUUGAAGCAUGAUAUGCUGCAUACGAUGAUUCCCUCGAACCAUCUCAAAUUAUUCAUCACAUACAACUGCUGGGUUAUUUCUACGUACCUGGAUCUGUGGGCGGGGGGAAUAUCAUGGGGCAGGCACUGGGGGGCACAAUAUCCCAAAUAGCCGUAUUUGCAUCACAACCCUUGGAUGAGGUGAUUGCCCAACGUCGCCCAUCAUCAUCCCGGCAGGUUAAGUCCAGGAUGCCAUCCCCGUCACAGUCUGCACUCUGCAGGACUGCGGUGUCGUGGAUGCACCACCCGGAUGGCCUGGUGCAUGAAGCUGCGGCAAAAAAAGCAGCAACGAUGGUAAUUGAUCAAUGCCAGAAGCAGAUCGGGCAGGUGGCCUAGCUAGGAAAGGCCACAUGAAGGGUGGAGGCCAGACCAGCUGGAAAUGAAAGGCCAGGCAGUGUAACUACGAUUUCUAGACGCGUCGAACAGAUCAACGCCACAAAGAGACUCAGGGCUUGCUUUCCAGCAGCCGUAGGAUAACCGUACAUGCAUGCAUGCAUGCCACCGAUACAUUCGUGAUUGAGCAUAGCUAUGCGCUUGCAUGAAUGUUUUGUGCGAUUGGGCAUAUGUAUACAGUUGCCAAAUGUGAUGCCUGAGGGGCUUCAGGUAAGUUGCACACACUGCUGCAAUUCACUGCUCCGAAGCAAGUGGGGUUGAACAAGGAUAUGCUAUGAUAAUUCCGAGGGGCUAUGCCGGCUUGCGGGAAUUCCCUCGAACCAUCUCAAUUUCAUCACAUACAACGGCUGGGUUAUUACUACGUACCUGGAUCUGUGGGUGGCGAGAAUAUCUUGGGGCAGGCACUGGGGGGCACAAUAUCCCAAAUAGCCGCAUUUGCAUCACAGCCCGUGGAUGAGGUGAUUGCCCAACGUCGCCCAUCAUCAUCCCGGCAGGUUAAGUCCAGGAUGCCAUCCCCGUCACAGUCUGCACUCUGCAGGACUGAGCUGUUGUGGAUGCACCACCCGGAUGGCCUGGUGCAUGAAGCUGGAGCUGCGGCAAAAGCCAGCAACGAUACAAGGUACAAGUUCUGCACACAUGUGCGGGUCUGUCUGUAAAAGCCGGGGGGGCCAUGGACGUUAUAUUUGUAAUGAUGCGGGUACAGGGGAGGCCAUUAUCAUCCUCUCUCGUUCGAUUCACAGUGAAACGCCUCAACUCGACGUGUCUGGUCUGGUAGAUUUCCGAGAUGUACCUGG